UCGUCGUUGUAGAAGCGUUCUAACGAGCUCGUUGAACAGUGCUUUAUUUUUUGUACAACGAUACAUCGCUUGAUAGAAGUAUUUGGCAAUUGUGAAAAUUCUUCUGUACGAUAGAGAGCGGAAUUAGUGGGAUCAGGCGAAAUUUCGCAUCGAGGAAGAGAAUAAAUCCUCGGCGGAGUGUUUCCGAGGGAAGGAAUUAGAAGCGGAAUCUCGAUUUCACAAAGAGCGUACUGCUCUCGAGAGCUAAAACUAAUUCCACUACAACCCCAAUAUAGGUAACGGACUCUUAUGCCGGUUAGCAAUUCGCUGCGAUGAAAGCACUCGAGAAGGGGAGAAAUAGAUGAAAGCUUCGUUUUCUCAUCUUCUACGCGCGUGUACACACUUCUAUAAACAGCUGGCAUUCUGAAUGGCUCAGAAAACACGAGCUGCAGGAAAGAAAAUUGUGAACGCGACGCUGGGUUCUUAGCAGGCUGAGAAAAUUUGCGGGCGAUGGGACGAUCGCUAUUCGAUCUGACACUCCCCUGUUUGAGGUUCAAUCGAAUCCGUCGAGGGGCAAGAAAAUCUGGGGCCAAAUAUUUGGCUCAGCGAGGCAAACGCUGCUCCAAAGGUUCUAUCCGAAAGUUGAUAAAGUCGGUCGGCAUACGGCCGAAUAUGGAAAUCUAUGAUUAGCAAUUUAAAACUUAUGGGUUCUCAAGGCACACACACUUACCAGAAGGCGGUUAAAUCGAUCGUGGUGUUCUGGGACGAGUGUAACUUCCGUGAGGAAAAAAUGAGUCUAAUUGGACAAGCGAAUAGGGAAGAGACAGCGAAGUCGAGUGCGAACUCUCUUGUUCCAACGGAACCGCGUCAAGCAUGAAGAUUUAAUUGACAUUACCGGAAAAUUUUGUGCGGUACUUUGCGCUUGUCAGAACGCAAUUCUUAUCGCACUUGAGUAUAUUGGUCUCUUGGAGCUGACGUCCGUAUUUCGGCAAACAACUCUUAUUAAUCAGUUCGCAUCACACUUUAGUUAAUCUCCGGAGGAAAUUUCAAACAAAUUAUCGCUGGCUCUCAGUGUCGUAGCCGGGAGGCGAUCUCGGAAAGCGUCUUGUAUUACAAAUGGGGCACGGUGAUAUAAGGAAUUGCGGACAUUAGUAAGAGGGUUGUCAACGUGUCCCUCGCACGUUUGGCUGGACCAUCCUAUCGUCGCAGCUGCUGUUCCUUGUUGCCGCUCCGUGUUUGCUGCUGUUACUCAGCCGGCGGUCGUUCCCGGCUACCCGCUCAUGCCUUCGACUCACCUCUUGGCAAGCUCGCAAAAAUUCUGUCACGAAUACCCUCGCACGUUUUCGGCAGCGUUAUCCGACACUCGAAU